GGCAGCGAACGUAUCACCCAAGACAACUUUACGGAGUUGACGAUUGACGGAGCGAAGCGACGUCAAAGCGUUCAUUAAAGUCGAGUUGGCUUAGGGAUACGUUCGUUGGGUAGGGGAGCGUUCUGUAAGCCUGUGAAGGUGGCCUGUGAGGGUUGCUGGAGGUAUCAGAAGUGCGAAUGCUGACAUAAGUAACGAUAAAGCGGGUGAAAAGCCCGCUCGCCGGAAGACCAAGGGUUCCUGUCCAACGUUAAUCGGGGCAGGGUGAGUCGACCCCUAAGGCGAGGCCGAAAGGCGUAGUCGAUGGGAAACGGGUUAAUAUUCCCGUACUUGGUGUUACUGCGAAGGGGGGACGGAGAAGGCUAUGUUGGCCGGGCGACGGUUGUCCCGGUUUAAGCGUGUAGGUGUGUGUUCCAGGUAAAUCCGGUUCACUUUAACACUGAGGCGUGACGACGAGGCACUACGGUGCUGAAGCAACAAAUGCCCUGCUUCCAGGAAAAGCCUCUAAGCAUCAGGUAACAUCAAAUCGUACCCCAAACCGACACAGGUGGUCAGGUAGAGAAUACCAAGGCGCUUGAGAGAACUCGGGUGAAGGAACUAGGCAAAAUGGUGCCGUAACUUCGGGAGAAGGCACGCUGACACGUAGGUGAAGUGAUUUACUCAUGGAGCUGAAGUCAGUCGAAGAUACCAGCUGGCUGCAACUGUUUAUUAAAAACACAGCACUGUGCAAACACGAAAGUGGACGUAUACGGUGUGACGCCUGCCCGGUGCCGGAAGGUUAAUUGAUGGGGUCAGCGCAAGCGAAGCUCCUGAUCGAAGCCCCGGUAAACGGCGGCCGUAACUAUAACGGUCCUAAGGUAGCGAAAUUCCUUGUCGGGUAAGUUCCGACCUGCACGAAUGGCGUAAUGAUGGCCAGGCUGUCUCCACCCGAGACUCAGUGAAAUUGAACUCGCUGUGAAGAUGCAGUGUACCCGCGGCAAGACGGAAAGACCCCGUGAACCUUUACUAUAGCUUGACACUGAACAUUGAGCCUUGAUGUGUAG
rnacentral:rRNA from 1 species